rnacentral:sRNA from 1 species
UCAGCUCGUGUCGUGAGAUGUGGGGUUAAGUCCCGCAACGAGCGCAACCCUCGCCGCGUGUUGCCAGCACAUUAUGGUGGGAACUCACGUGGGACCGCCGGGGUUAACUCGGAGGAAGGUGGGGAUGACGUCAGAUCAUCAUGCCCCUUACGUCCAGGGCUUCACGCAUGCUACAAUGGCCGGUACAACGGGAUGCGACACCGCGAGGUGGGGCGGAUCCCUGAAAACCGGUCUCAGUUCGGAUCGCAGUCUGCAACUCGACUGCGUGAAGGUGGAGUCGCUAGUAAUCGCGGAUCAGCAACGCCGCGGUGAAUGCGUUCCCGGGCCUUGUACACACCGCCCGUCAAGUCAUGAAAGUGGGCAGCACCCGAAGCCGGUGGCCUAUCCUUUGUGGGGGGAGCCGUCUAAGGUGAGGCUCGUGAUUGGGACUAAGUCGUAACAAGGUAGCCGUACCGGAAGGUGCGGCUGGAUCACCUCCUUUCUACGGAGAUUUUUGGGCCGCGGAUUGCUCGUCCAUGGUGGUGGACGGUUCGCGGUGCUGGCGUGGAAAAGGGUAAGAGGCUGUUUUUGUGGCCGGUGCAUGCUGUUGGGUUCCCUGGCCGCGACACGUGGUCGGAUCCGCAUGGUGUCCCCCGGGCCGGUUGGUUCGGGCGCGCCGUGUGUGGUGUGGUGGUUUGAGAACUGGAUAGUGGACGCGAGCGAGGCAAGCCGUACGGCUUGUUUUGUUUGUGCUGUGAUUGUUCCAAAGAGUUUUUUGGAUGUAUCGAUCGAUUUGAUCUGCUAGUUGUUUUUUGUGUGGUUGUUCGCGCGCUGUGAGCAUUCGUGGUUUGCGGGUGUUGUGGCGUAUGGUGG